UUCCAAGGGAAGAGACAGUUAUCAUCAGUCCUUUUAAGAUCCUUGAAGGUUUACUCCAAGAAUGGAAGAAUUCUUUGGGCUUAUGAAUUCAGAAAGAGCUACAUCAGAAAUACUCUCACACACAUGAUUUCUGAGCUCCUAAGGACAUUGCAAAGAGCUGAGGAAUUGGAAGUAGCAUGGUUCAGAACAGACUACAGACUCAGUUCAGUUAUUGAAGUUGAAUGUCACAAAAACAGCUGGAAACUCUGAUGUGAGGAAGAGACCAGGACUCACUCCCCUACCAAACCAAACCAAACCAAACCAAACCAAACCAAACCAAACCAAACCAAACCAAACCAAACCAAACCAAACCAAACCAAACGGAACCAAACCGAACUCAAACGAACUGAACUGAACCGAACAAAACCCAACCCAAUCCAACCAACCAACCAACCAACCAAAAACCCACACUGCUGAACUUCUGAAAUGAAAUAAUUGCUUUAUUUGCAUCAUGUUUUUUUAUUUUUAUUUUUUUACUUCUCCAUGUAUCAGUAGUUAUGUAUUAAUUUUAACAUUUUGCUUUUAUUGACAUUGUCACAAUUUGCUCAUGAGUAGUUCUAGGUCAUAUACCAAAACAAGAUAAAAAACAAAACAAAACAAAACCUCCAAAACAGCAAGUAAAGUUUUUACAGAGUACACUGACU
rnacentral:lncRNA from 1 species